rnacentral:ncRNA from 1 species
AAUGGGUGGUACAGAGGGUUGCCAAGCCGUGAGGUGGAGCUAAUCCCUUAAAGCCAUUCUCAGUUCGGAUUGUAGGCUGAAACUCGCCUACAUGAAG